GAUGAAGAACGCAGCGAAUUGCGAUAAGUAAUGUGAAUUGCAGAUUUUCAGUGAAUCAUCGAAUCUUUGAACGCACCUUGCGCCCUUUGGCUAUUCCGAAGGGCAUGCCUGUUUGAGUAUCAUGAACACCUCAACUCCUCAUGGCUUGCCAUGAUGAGCUUGGACUUGGGGGUCUUGCUGGCCUGUGGUCAGCUCCUCUCAAAUGAAUCAGCUUGCCAGUGAUUGGUGGCACCACAGGUGUGAUAAACAUCUACGCUUGUGGUUCCCCACCAUGUAACCUUUAGCGAUAGAGGUUCGCUGGAGCUCACAAAUGUCUUUCCUCAGUGAAGACAGCUCUUUGAUUGUUUGAUCUCAAAUCAGGUAGGACUACCCGCUGAACUUAAGCAUAUCAAUAAGCGGAGGA
rnacentral:misc_RNA from 1 species